UAUGGAGGGGGCUAGCGUUGUUCGGAAUUACUGGGCGUAAAGCGCGCGUAGGCGGCUUUGUAAGUUAGAGGUGAAAGCCCGAAGCUCAACUUCGGAAUUGCCUUUAAGACUGCAUCGCUAGAAUCAUGGAGAGGUUAGUGGAAUUCCGAGUGUAGAGGUGAAAUUCGUAGAUAUUCGGAAGAACACCAGUGGCGAAGGCGACUAACUGGACAUGUAUUGACGCUGAGGUGCGAAAGCGUGGGGAGCAAACAGG
rnacentral:rRNA from 1 species